GACCGCGAUCGAACAAAGGCUACAACCACCAUGGCGAACUUCACUUAUUCUCAACAUAUUAUGCAGUUCAGUCUGUUAACAACAUGGUCACGUCAAAUAGUAACGUUCAUUACUGUGUGUGCAGUCUUCACAGCAGGUGUUCCAAUAGAAAAACCACUAACGACAGCACCACAAUGGACAACUCACAACAUGUCCAUAUGGGAAGACGUAGUAUUAUUGAGCUCAGAUUCCAAUCAUCAGCCGUUGCUAGUGAUCAACCAAACUGGUGUUUACACUGCCCCAGACAUCGAAAAAAUGGAAAACGAGACAUUAAGAAAGUUUCAAAUAUUAAAAGCAAAUUACACAAAGUAUUUCUAUGACGUUAAUGGCGGAAAAAAUAAAGAAGACAGUCGAGCUUCGCGGGCUGCGCUGCCUGGGUUCGUGGACAAAGCAUUGCAAUUACUCAACUUAAACCAGGUCGUGGGCGAGGUGGAAACUAGUGUCAUGUCUAAAAUGUCAUGUACCGCUUGUAAAGCUGGCGCUGGUCUACUACAACACUAUAUAAAACAUGGUAAAACACGCGAUGAUAUUGUAAAGAUUACCUACCAGUUCUGCACGAGCUUUAAAUUACAGACGCCACGUGUCUGUGAGGGCAUUACAGAACUAUUUAGUGGUGAAGUGGUUUACGUUCUACAAAGAAUAAAUAUCGGACCCGAAGAAAUCUGCAGUUUUGUCAUUGGCGACGCAUGUGGAGAUGUGUACAACCCAACACACGAAUGGGAUGUAGUUUUUCCUCCUGUUCCCAAACCCACUCCGAACGAAAUUAAAACAUUAAAAGAACCAGUUCCUCAGUUCAAAGUUCUCCAUUUGUCCGACACCCAUUUCGAUCCAUAUUAUGAAGAAGGAACAAAUGCCGAUUGCAACGAACCUUUAUGUUGCCGUUUGACCAAUGGCCCAGCAGUUAGUCCUCAAAGCCGAGCGGGAAGAUGGGGAGACUACAGAAAAUGUGAUACUCCUAAACGAACCAUUGACAAUAUGCUUCAACACAUUGUUGCUACACACACUGACAUCGAUUACAUCAUUUGGACGGGUGAUCUACCGGCACACGAUAUUUGGAACCAGACAAAAGAAGAAAACUUGAGCAUAUUAAAGGAGACUGUGGCGCAGUUACUCAAAAUGUUUCCUGGAAUUCCCAUAUUUCCAGCACUUGGGAAUCACGAAGCAGUCCCGGUGAAUAGUUUUCCACCGUCUUCGUUGGUGAACAAACCCGAGUACGCCAUCGACUGGCUGUACAGCGAAUUGGACACACAAUGGCGACGUUGGUUACCGGGGUCGGUGAGCAGGACCAUCAAACGUGGAGCUUUCUACAGUGUAUUGGUCCGGCCUGGGUUCCGCAUAAUAUCGUUGAACAUGAACUAUUGCAACAAUAAAAAUUGGUGGCUAUUGAUGAACAGCACUGAUCCUGUCAAAGAACUCCAGUGGUUCAUAUACGAGCUGCAGAAUGCCGAAUUCAACGGUGAAAAGGUCCACGUGUUGGGACACAUACCACCUGGGCAUCCGGAUUGUUUGAAAGUCUGGAGUCGGAACUAUUACGCCAUAAUCUCCAGGUACGAAAGCACAAUUACAGCUCAAUUUUUUGGCCAUACCCAUUUCGAUGAAUUUGAACUGUUCUACGAUACACAAGACCUUGGUAGACCAGUAAGCAUAGCGUAUGUUGGUCCUUCUGUCACUCCAUACUACGAUCUCAAUCCAGGUUACAGAAUAUAUUAUGUAGAUGGGGAUAGAGAGCAUUCAACCAGAGCAGUGCUGGACCACGAAACAUGGGUGAUGAAUUUGAAAGAAGCUAAUUUAUACGACUAUCCUAUCUGGCAAAAAUUAUAUUCUACACAAGCGGCAUAUAGUCUACCUUCAUUGAGGCCCGAGGACUGGGAUGUGUUUAUAAAUAAUUUAGCUGAAGAUCAAACUUUAUUUGAUCUAUAUUACAAGCAUUACUGGAAAAACUCACCAACAAGACCUGCAUGUGAUGCAGAGUGCAAAAAACGUAUGAUAUGUGAUCUCAGAUCGGGCCGUUCGCAUGACCGAAAGAUCUUAUGUCAAGAAAUUGAGUCACGUAUUGAUGCUGGUUCACGGAUUAGUUGGAGUGCGUGGCUUUACAAUGGGUUCACAGCCUCAGUGACAAUGGUCUAAAUUCUAAGGUGACGGUCAUCUGUAACUAUCACUGUAUAUUCGCCUACAGAAAUCUUCUAUUUAUUGGAUGUCUGUUAUCAUGUCCAUACCUCGCUACACGUACCAGAUACCUAAAUACCUACUAGGAUAUACAAGGUGAGCAGAAUGUGAAAAAAUUUAAUGGAGUACAAAAUUACAGCCACGGUCAGAUCAGAUAAGUUGGAUGACAAAACUUUUAUUCUGAAACAUUUGCUCAUU
rnacentral:misc_RNA from 1 species